rnacentral:rRNA from 1 species
UACAGAGACUGCAAGCGUUAUUCGGAUUCACUGGGCGUAAAGAGCGCGCAGGCGGUCGUUCAAGUCGCGUGUGAAAGCCCCCGGCUCAACUGGGGAGGGUCACGCGAUACUGAUCGACUCGAAGGCAGGAGAGGGAAGUGGAAUUCCCGGUGUAGUGGUGAAAUGCGUAGAUAUCGGGAGGAACACCAGUGGCGAAGGCGACUUCCUGGCCUGUUCUUGACGCUGAGGCGCGAAAGCUAGGGGAGCAAACGGG